UGGAAAGGUGGAACACGGAAC
rnacentral:miRNA from 1 species